rnacentral:rRNA from 1 species
AACGAACGCUGGCGGCAUGCCUAACACAUGCAAGUCGAACGAGACCUUCGGGUCUAGUGGCGCACGGGUGCGUAACGCGUGGGAACCUGCCCUUAGGUUCGGAAUAACUCCCCGAAAGGGGUGCUAAUACCGGAUAAUGUCUUCGGACCAAAGAUUUAUCGCCUUUGGAUGGGCCCGCGUUGGAUUAGCUAGUUGGUAGGGUAAAAGCCUACCAAGGCGACGAUCCAUAGCUGGUCUGAGAGGAUGAUCAGCCACACUGGGACUGAGACACGGCCCAGACUCCUACGGGAGGCAGCAGUGGGGAAUAUUGGACAAUGGGCGAAAGCCUGAUCCAGCAAUGCCGCGUGAGUGAUGAAGGCCCUAGGGUUGUAAAGCUCUUUUACCCGGGAUGAUAAUGACAGUACCGAGAGAAUAAGCUCCGGCUAACUCCGUG